CACCCCUUACCUGCAGCAGCAAACAGCAAGCCCCCAUCCCGUACCAGUGCUGUGAUGAGUCCUCAUUCAGAGCAAAGAUGCACAAAGACGAGGAGGACUCCCAUAGAAACUUGACAAGCCUGACACGGAGAGAGGCGCGGGAGUGAGGCAGCGCGCUCCGAGCAUGACGUGAUGCACUGCUGCUUGUGCGAGGGAAGGGUACAGCCUGCUCGGCGGGGCCGUCACUGAGAUCCUGUUCUUUGUGAGAGGAGCAACCUCUCGGCCUGGAAGAAAGCCAUCUGCGACGCACCCCUUCUUUUUCCAAAGAGCGGGAUCGUGGCGACGCUGCUGAGCUGGCCGGUGGCUGGGGAGGUGGGAAGGAGAGAAAGGGGAAGCACAAGGGAGCAAAGAGAGGGCAACCAGCUGGGAAAGAAAAAGGAGCUUGUAUAAAGGACGGAUCUGACCUGCUCUGACUCCAGAGAAGUGCUUUUGAGGCUGCCUUUUGAGAACCAGGAGGGAAAAGGGCUAGGGAAGUACAAGAUGUUACUGUUUUUAUUAUGUAUUCCAUUUGUAAUUAAAAACCAUAAAUAUAUAUAUAUUUAUUUUUGCCAGGGCUUUUUUAAAGAAUAUUUUCAUCACCCAAGAUAUCGAUCUCAGGCAAGUUUUCACUACCUGGGGAAAGGGAUCAGUAAGCAGCAGUAAGCAGCACACAUUAUUAACACAAUAAUCUCUCCCCACCCCUCAAGCUAAACUCUGAUGGAGAAGACGCUAACACAAGCUCAAAGGCAAAAAGGCUUGUUAAGAUAAACCUGAAAACAAAAUAAUACAAAACAAAACAAAGCACAAUUGCUUCAAGCCUCCCAAAU